GCAAGUCGAGCGCCUUCUUCGGAAGGAGCGGCGGACGGGUUAGUAACGCGUGGGAACAUACCCAACACUAAGGAAUAGCCACUGGAAACGGUGAGUAAUACCUUAUACGCCCUUCGGGGGAAAGAUUUAUCGGUGAUGGAUUGGCCCGCGUUAGAUUAGAUAGUUGGUGGGGUAACGGCCUACCAAGUCACCGAUCUAUAGCUGGUUUGAGAGGAUGAUC
rnacentral:rRNA from 1 species